UGCGUAGGCUCCUUUAAAAGUCGCGUCUUAAAUAUUGAGGCUUAACCUCAAGCAUGGAUGCGAUACUAUAAAGGUUGAGGAUUGACAGGGAUGCUGGAACAGCUAGAGUAGCAGUGAAAUGCGUUGAUAUUAGCUGGAACACCAAAGGCGAAGGCAAGCAUCUAGGUUUUUCCCUGACGCUGAGGCACGAAAGCUAAGGUAGCGAAACAGAUUAGAUACCUGUGUAGUCUUAGCUGUAAACAAUGUUCGCUAGCUCUCACUUAUCAAGCACAUAAGCGCUUGAUGAAGUUUAAACUUCAAAAACUUGUGUUUUUGAUUAGUGGGGGCGUAAGUUAACACGUUAAGCGAACCGCCUGGGGAGUACGGCCGCAAGGCUAAA
rnacentral:rRNA from 1 species